AACCGUCGCCCCAUAGUCUGGGAUACCACUUGGAAACAGGUGCUAAUACCGGAUAAGAAAGCGGAUCGCAUGAUCAGCUUUUAAAAGGCGGCGUAAGCUGUCGCUAUGGGAUGGCCCCGCCGGUGCAUUAGCUAGUUGGUAAGGUAAAGGCUUACCAAGGCGAUGAUGCAUAGCCGAGUUGAGAGACUGAUCGGCCACAUUGGGACUGAGACACGGCCCAAACUCCUACGGGAGGCAGCAGCA
rnacentral:rRNA from 1 species